rnacentral:rRNA from 1 species
UUCCCUUAGUAACUGCGAGUGAAGCGGGAAAAGCUCAAAUUUGAAAUCUGGCAGUCUAUUUUUUCUUCUUUGGCUGUCCGAGUUGUAAUCUAGAGAAGUGCUUACCUGCACUGGACCAUGUAUAAGUCUCCUGGAAUGGAGCGUCGCAGAGGGUGAGAAUCCCGUCUUUGACAUGGACUGCCAGUGUGUUGUGGUGUGCUCUCAAAGAGUCGAGUUGUUUGGGAAUGCAGCUCUAAAUGGGUGGUAAACUCCAUCUAAAGCUAAAUAUUGGCGAGAGACCGAUAGCGAACAAGUACCGUGAGGGAAAGAUGAAAAGGACUUUGGAAAGAGAGUUAAACAGUAUGUGAAAUUGUUGAAAGGGAAACGCUUGAAGUCAGUUAUGUCGGCUAGGGAUCAACCUAGCUCUUUUGCUGGGUGAAUUUCCUAUUCUGACAGGCCAACAUCAGUUUCGACUGCUGGAAAAGAGCGGAGGGAAUGUGGCACCUUCGGGUGUGUUAUAGCCCUUUGUCAUAUGUGGCAGUCGGGACUGAGGGAUGCAGCGUGCCGCGAGGCUGGGUUUCGACCACGUUCACGCUUAGGAUGUUGGCUUUUAAUGGCUUCAAUCGACCCGUCUUGAAACACGGACCAAGGAGUCUAACAUGCCUGCGAGUGUUUGGGUGGAAAACCCUUGCGCGCAAUGAAAGUGAAAGUUGAGAUCCCUGUCGUGGGGAGCAUCGAYGCCCGGACUUGAGCUUUUAGCGACGGAUCCGCGGUAGAGCAUGCAUGUUGGGACCCGAAAGAUGGUGAACUAUGCCUGAAUAGGGCAAAGCCAGAGGAAACUCUGGUGGAGGCUCGUAGCGAUUCUGACGUGCAAAUCGA